rnacentral:snRNA from 1 species
GAAUGUGAGGGUGACCUGGCUGUGACCCUGACACUCCAUUGAUUACCAGGACCCAUUAGACUGGUAGGGUGGCCCGGUGUCUUCUUCCUCCCUCACCUCUGUGUGCAUCAGGUUUUAAGUUGCUGCCUCAGACAACAGGAAUGACCUUCGCUGAUAAAGAAGGAUCCCUCUGCAGGAAG